rnacentral:rRNA from 1 species
GACAGAGGGGGCAAGCGUUGCUCGGAAUCACUGGGCGUAAAGGGCGCGUAGGCGGGAUGGCAAGUCAGUCGUGAAAUCUCUCGGCUCAACCGAGAAACGUCGGCUGAUACUGCCGUUCUUGAGGGAUGCAGAGGAGACUGGAAUUCCCGGUGUAGCGGUGAAAUGUGUAGAGAUCGGGAGGAACACCGGUGGCGAAGGCGGGUCUCUGGGCAUCUCCUGACGCUGAGGCGCGAAAGCGUGGGGAGCGAACGGG